GACGUAGGGCGCGAGCGUUGUCCGGAUUUAUUGGGCGUAAAGAGCUCGUAGGCGGUUUGUCGCGUCUGCUGUGAAAACCCGAGGCUCAACCUCGGGCCUGCAGUGGGUACGGGCAGACUAGAGUGCGGUAGGGGAGAUUGGAAUUCCUGGUGUAGCGGUGGAAUGCGCAGAUAUCAGGAGGAACACCAAUGGCGAAGGCGGCAUCCUGGACCGAUAUUGACACUGAUGAGCGAAAGCUAGGGGAGCAAACGGG
rnacentral:rRNA from 1 species